rnacentral:rRNA from 1 species
GUGCAGCAGCGCGAAACUUUACAAUGUGCGAAAGCACGAUAAGGGAACUCUGAGUGCCUCCUAAGGAGGCUGUUCUGAUGUACUAAAAAGCAACAGAAGUAAGGGCUGGGUAAGACCGGUGCCAGCCGCCGCGGUAACACCGGCAGCCCAAGUGGUAGCCACGUUUAUUGGGUCUAAAGCGUUCGUAGCCGGCCAGGUAAGUUCCUUGGUAAAUUUAGCCGCUUAACGGUUAAGCUUUCGGGGAAUACUGCUUGGCUUGGGACUGGGGAGAGGUCAGAGGUACGUCCGGGGGUAGGGGUGAAAUCUAUUAAUCCCUGGGGGACCACCGGUAGCGAAGGCGCCUGACCAGACCAGGUCCGACGGUGAGGGACGAAGGCUAGGGGGCGCGAACCGGAUUAGAUACCCCGGUAGU